rnacentral:snRNA from 1 species
GACAAAAACAAAACUUGGAACGAUACAGAGAAGAUUAGCAUAGCCCCUGCUCAAGGAUGACACACAAAUUCUUGAAGCGUUCCAUAUUUUU